AUUGAACGCUGGCGGCAGGCCUAAAACAUGCAAGUCGAGCGGAGCGGCGGACGGGUGAGUAAUGCCUAGGAAUCUGCCUGGUAGUGGGGGAUAACGUCCGGAAACGGGCGCUAAUACCGCAUACUAUCAGAUGAGCCGAGGUCGGGUUAGCUAGUUGGUGGGGUAAAGGCCUACCAAGGCGACGAUCCGGAACUGGUCUGAGAGGAUGAUCAGGCACACUGGAACCUAUACGCGGUCCAGACCUCUGCUGGAGGGAGGAGUGGUGAAUUUUGGACCAUGGGCGAAAGCCUUAUCCAGCCAUGCCGCGUGUGUGAAGAAGGUCUUCGUAUUGUAAAGCACUUUAAGUUGUGAGGCGUUACCAACAGAAUAAGCACCGGCUAACUUCGUGCCAGCAGUCGCGGUAAUA
rnacentral:rRNA from 1 species